rnacentral:lncRNA from 1 species
AUGGGCCCCACAGAUCCAACCCCACGGGCCCCACAGAUCCAAGCAAGAGACCUGGGAACAAUCACCCCACAGAUCCCACUCCAAGGGCCCCAUAGAUCCUAUCCUAAUGGACCCCGCAGAUCCAACAGAACUGAGAUCACCCCACAGAUCCCACCCCGGGGGCCCCACAGAUGCUACCCUGAAAGACCCCAGAGACAGACGCCCCACGGGCCCCACAGAUCCAAGCAAGAGACCCGGGAACAAUCACCCCACAGCUCCCACCCCACGGGCCCCACAGAUCUUAUCCUAACCAACAAUCCCACAGCUCCCACCCCACGGGCCCCACAGAUCUUAUCCUAACCGACCGCCCCACAGAUCGAACCCAGCGGGCCCCGCUGAUCCAACCCCCCCCCACCGCGCCCCACAGAUGGCACCCGACGCGCCCUAGGGCUCCUGCGCCCCACACAUCCUCGCCUGCUACGGCCGCAAGCCGCGGCGCCCCACACCGCCCCCCAAGCGCAGCUCACCUGUGGGGCCCCCGG